rnacentral:rRNA from 1 species
GACGAACGCUGGCGGCGUGCUUAACACAUGCAAGUCGAACGGAAAGGCCCUGCUUUUGUGGGGUGCUCGAGUGGCGAACGGGUGAGUAACACGUGAGUAACCUGCCCUUGACUUUGGGAUAACUUCAGGAAACUGGGGCUAAUACCGGAUAGGAGCUCCUGCUGCAUGGUGGGGGUUGGAAAGUUUCGGCGGUUGGGGAUGGACUCGCGGCUUAUCAGCUUGUUGGUGGGGUAGUGGCUUACCAAGGCUUUGACGGGUAGCCGGCCUGGGAGGGUGACCGGCCACAUUGGGACUGAGGUACGGCCCAGAGUCCUACGGGAGGCAGCAGUGGGGAAUAUUGCACAAUGGGCGGAAGCCUGAGGCAGCGACGCCGCGUGCGUGAUGACGGCCUUCGGGUUGUAAACCGCUUUCGCCUGUGACGAAGCGUGAGUGACGGUAAUGGGUAAAGAAGCACCGGCUAACUACGUG